GUGCUCACUUCAGCAGCACAUAUACUAAAACUGGAAAGAUGCAGAGAAGAUUAGCAUAGCCCCUACACAAGGAUGACAUGCAAAUUUAUGAAGCGUUCUAUAUUUUU
ensembl:snRNA U6 U6 spliceosomal RNA